AGAGUUUGAUCCUGGCUCAGGACGAACGCUGGCGGUAUGCUUAACACAUGCAAGUCAAGGAGAAAGUUUCCUUCGGGAGAUGAUUAAACUGGCGCACGGGUGAGUAAUGUGUAAAUAAUCUACCCAUGGGAUUGGGAUAACAUUUCGAAAGGGAUGCUAAUACCAAAUAAUGCAGCGGGGCCGAAUGGUCAUGUUGUUAAAGCUGCUUCGGUAGUGCCUAUGGAUGAGUUUGCAUUUGAUUAGCUAGUUGGAGAGGUAAAGGCUCCCCAAGGCGAUGAUCAAUAGCUGGUCUGAGAGGAUGAUCAGCCACACUGGAACUGAGACACGGUCCAGACUCCUACGGGAGGCAGCAGUGAGGAAUAUUGGGCAAUGGACGAAAGUCUGACCCAGCAAUACCGCGUGAAGGAUGAAGGUCGUAAGACUGUAAACUUCUGUCUAAAGGGACGAACACUGGUAAUUCGCAAGGGUUGCCAGCUGACUGUACCUUUAAAGAAAGCCCCGGCUAACUACGUGCCAGCAGCCGCGGUAAUACGUAGGGGGCGAGCGUUGUCCGGAUUUACUGGGUGUAAAGGGCGCGUAGGCGGGCUAUUAAGUCAGAUGUG
rnacentral:rRNA from 1 species